rnacentral:rRNA from 1 species
UACGAAGGGUGCAAGCGUUACUCGGAAUUACUGGGCGUAAAGCGUGCGUAGGUGGUUCGUUAAGUCUGAUGUGAAAGCCCUGGGCUCAACCUGGGAAUGGCAUUGGAUACUGGCGACCUAGAGUGCGGUAGAGGGGUGUGGAAUUCCCGGUGUAGCAGUGAAAUGCGUAGAUAUCGGGAGGAACAUCUGUGGCGAAGGCGACCACCUGGACUGAUACUGACACUGAGGUGCGAAAGCGUGGGGAGCAAACAGG